UUUUUUUUUUCUAUCUUUGAUGUUAGGGUGUUAUCUCAGGCUUACAUUAAUGCCUAGCAAUAUGCUUUUGUAAAUCCAGUCUCAACUUGGCAAAAGUCUCCAGAAUUGGAGAAAUUUGGAGUCAAACACUUAACAUUGAUUAUACUCUCAUAUUUAAAAUGCAGAACUUCAAUCAGAUAAUCCAUUGACAAAUAUCAUGAGUGUCUUUUUAAAGCUCUAUGAAGGCUGCACAUAGAAAUGAGUGAUCGCCUACAAGGAACUUACACUCUGGGACUUGUUCACAGCACCCCAGCCUAGCAGAAUUUGGUGGAGAGAAUGGGACCUAUGACAAAAUGUUAAGUAGCAAGCAAAGAUAGCCUAAUGAGACGUGUGGGAGAUCAGUUCUCUGACUGAUCAGAAGAGAGAAGGGAUCAUCACGGUCCAGAACAAAUGGGAAGAGAACCCAGCGUGAGCCUUUAGGAGGGAUAUAAAGGGAAGACAUGGUUCAGAUAAAAUGAGAAAUAAAGAGGUGGUGGUCUCAAAAAGGGAUACAUGUAAACAGAAUUGUAGCCCCUGGAGGCCAUAUAAUGUUUUGAAGUAACAGUAAAUAGAUUUUUCUAUAGGAAACUGAAUGAAAACAACAGUCUAAAAUGUUGGAAGGGGACCCAGGCUCCCAGAAGAGGUCCCGGGCCGUGGCGGAAGCAGGCGGGCGCCAGGCCUGGGCUCAGGCGCCAGGCUGCAGAGGCGGGCCGGGUGGCCGGCAUCAUGGCGCUCUUCCACUUCCGGAACUGCUUCGCUCUGGCCUACUUCCGCUGCUUCACCACCUACAAGUGCAGCGGGCUGUCUGAGUCCAGUGCUUUCUGGAAGUGCGUCCAGGCCGGGGUCGCCUACCUGUUCGUGCAGCUGUGCAAGAUGCUGUUCUUGGUCACUUUCUUUCCCACCUGGGAAGGCGGCGUCUGUGACUUCACUGGGGAGUUCAUGAAGGCCAGCAUGGACGUGGCAGACCCGAUAGGCCUAAACCUUGUCAUGUCCCGGAAUGCCGGCAAGGGGGAAUACAAGAUCAUGGUUGCUGCCCUGGGCUGGGCCACACCGAACUCAUUAUGUCCCGUGGCAUCCCCUCUGGGUUGGAGCUUGGGGGCAUUGAUUUGACUGGAAAUACAUCCAGAUGACCAUUGACUCCAACAUCAGUCUGGUCCAUCACAUUGUCGCCUCUGCCCAGGUGUGGAUGAUAACACGCUAUGACCUGCACCACACUUACCGACCAGCAGUCCUCCUCCUGAUGUUCCUUAGCGUCUACAAGGCCUUUGUCAUGGAGACCUUCGUCCACCUCUGUUCCCUGGGCAGCUGGACGGCACUGCUGGCUCGAGUGCUGGUGACGGGGCUUCUGGCCCUCAGCAGCUCGGCCCUGUAUGUCAGCGUGCACGCCUAGGCUUGGCGUCCCAGACUUUCAUAUACCUUCUGCCCGUCCCCAGGUUCAGUGAAGUAAACAGUAUUUGGAAAGUUAAAAAAAAAAAAA